ensembl:rRNA 5S_rRNA 5S ribosomal RNA
CUAUACAGCCAUACCACCGUGAACACACCCCAUCUUGGCUGAUCUCAGCAGGUAAGCAGGGUCGGGCCUGGUCAGUACUUGGGAUAGGAGGAAUCAAGACCUAGU